rnacentral:tRNA from 1 species
UGUCUCAUGGUGUAAUGGUAGCACAACAGGUUUUGGUUCUGUUUGUCUUGGUUCGAAUCCAGGUGAGACAA